rnacentral:rRNA from 1 species
UACGAAGGGGGCUAGCGUUGUUCGGAAUCACUGGGCGUAAAGCGCACGUAGGCGGAUCUUUAAGUCAGGGGUGAAAUCCCGAGGCUCAACCUCGGAACUGCCUUUGAUACUGGGAUCUGAGUCCGGGAGAGGUGAGUGGAAUUGCGAGUGUAGAGGUGAAAUUCGUAGAUAUUCGCAAGAACACCAGUGGCGAAGGCGGCUCACUGGCCCGGAACUGACGCUGAGACGCGAAAGCGUGGGGAGCAACAGG